GCCUUCGUGGUGUAGUGGUCAGCUCCCUCGACGUGUAACCGAGAGGUCCGUGGUUCGAUUCCCGGCGAGGGCA
rfam:Stegodyphus mimosarum contig111619, whole genome shotgun sequence.